UGGGGAAUUUUCCGCAAUGGGCGCAAGCCUGACGGAGCAAUACCGCGUGAGUGAUGAAGGCCUUAGGGUUGUAAAACUCUUUCGCUGGGGAAGAUAAUGACGGUACCCAGUAAAGAAGCCCCGGCUAAUUUCGUGCCAGCAGCCGCGGUAAUACGAAAGGGGCUAGUGUUGUUCGGAAUUACUGGGCGUAAAGCGCGCGUAGGCGGCAUGCCAAGUUGGGGGUGAAAUCCCUGGGCUCAACCCAGGAACUGCCUCCAAAACUGGCAAGCUAGAGGAUGUGAGAGGAUAGUGGAAUUCCGAGUGUAGAGGUGAAAUUCGUAGAUAUUCGGAAGAACACCAGUGGCGAAGGCGACUGUCUGGCACAUUUCUGACGCUGAGGUGCGAAAGCGUGGGGAGCAAACAGGAUUAGAUACCCCCGUAGUCC
rnacentral:rRNA from 1 species